GCAUGCCCCUCCUGUGCAGCAUGGGUUCCCCUUAGCCCCACCUUUUCUGUCUAUCUCCAGAGGAGGAAGGAGGCCCAGAGACAGUGAGAGAAGGAAGAGAGACAAAGAUUAUUCAAGAUGUUUUUCUCUGGGAUGUGACUGGGAUAUCCUGCAGACAGUGUGGGAGAGCCUCCAGACCACCCACGACCACAGAGGAAUAAUCAGUGAUUGAAUACAUGUUUAUUUCAGGGGUACUUGUUCCAAAAUGGGUUGGGGCCAGUGAGCUACCAUCAGAUAACAACAUUAUCAGAGGAUCCACAGGAAGGCUGCUUGAACCCCUGCAGCUCACUCAAUAUGUCCUGAUGUCUGUUCUUAAUGAUUCUUCUUGACCUGCACUUUCUUUCUCUCUCUCUCACACAGGAACCCUGAAAUCAAUACUUUUUAUCAAUUUACUUCUACAGUCACCUUUGGCCAUGGUCACCUGCUUGAGCUGUUUUUGCAUUAAUCAAUGAAUUCCCAUCCUGAGUCACUGUCCUUGCAAUUAAAAUUAUGUUUUCAUGAGAGUUAGAGUCUGCAAAGCCGCUUUUAUUCCUUUAUUUAAAUCAAGUUAAUCACCUUCCACCCUCUCGCAUCUUCUUUUUAGCAGACUAGUCUCCAUAGUCUUCACUGCAUCCACCACUAUUGCCCUCACACAUUUUGAUCCAUUUCUACUCUUGUUGUUUAAUCCACCUGCUUUAAAUUCUUUCAAUCCCUUCUAUGCACAGGAAGUAUGCAAAAGCUGCAGCACCUGAUGUGUUGCAUCUAUGGAAAUCUUGCUAGCUGAUGUCAUUGAAAGCUUUAUUUAUAACCAUGUGCUCCAAAUCUCAUCCCUUCAGGGGUCAUCUCAUUACUGUUUGUUGAAGCAUAGGUUCCAAAUUCUAAAUAAGCUGAUAUGCAGAGACUUCCCUAACUGUGUUAAUAAGUAAUAAUGUGAUGUGCUCUGCAAAUAAAGGAAUUGUCCAACACCAGCCAACUGCAGCUUAACACUCAUGUCAGGACAAUUCAGCUAGCAUAACAUGUCUUUGUGUUUUUAUUGUGUUGUUUCAUAGUUUGUGCUAUUUUGAUUGAACAGCACUUUGGUCAGCUGUUGUUUUAAAGUGUGCUUUAUGAAUAAAUUUGACCUAUUUUCAUUA